AAGUGGAUGGGUGAUUUGAUCGUACCGGCGAGUGGUUGGUUGCGAGCCGAGAAAUUAGGCUCGAGAUAGAGAUGGAGUUAGUGGGCUGGCUCUCUGGGUAGUAAAGGUAAGUGAUAGUGAGAGUCAAGUCUGGACGUUAGUGGACUCCUCUGUAGUUUGAGAGUUUCGGACGAUGUUCCGACGGAUCGAAUAGUGGUAGUAGCGUUCCUGUUGUGGAAGUGGUUGAGCGAUCGCCAAAUUCUAGCGAGUGGUCGAAUGGUACCUCAAUGAUGGUGAGGGAAUUCGUGUUUGUGUACUAUGCGCGUAGGCUGAGUAGUUUAGAGUGUGAGGCUAUUGAGAAGCGUGAUAGUGUAGGACGCUUGAGUAUAGGUGUCCGCAGAGUGUGGACUGUGGCUCAGCCGAGAGAGUGUUGAUUGUGUCCAUGUGGUUUGAGCGUACCGACUAUAGGAGUGGAAGCUUGGUCAUACUGCUCGAAUGAUUCGGAUCACCAAGUCUGGUGUGGUCGGUGAAUUGAGAUUGAGUACGCGAACGGAGUGUUCGCAGGGACUCAUUGCGAAACAGUGUGGUGUUGAAGCGUGGCUGAGGGAAGGAAAUGUUCUCUAUG
rnacentral:lncRNA from 1 species